rnacentral:rRNA from 1 species
UUGGUCAUUUAGAGGAAGUAAAAGUCGUAACAAGGUCUCCGUUGGUGAACCAGCGGAGGGAUCAUUACCGAGUUUACAACUCCCAAACCCCUGUGAACAUACCUAUACGUUGCCUCGGCGGAUCAGCCCGCGCCCUGUAAAACGGGACGGCCCGCCCGAGGACCCUAAACUCUGUUUUUAGUGGAACUUCUGAGUAAAACAAACAAAUAAAUCAAAACUUUCAAUAACGGAUCUCUUGGUUCUGGCAUCGAUGAAGAACGCAGCAAAAUGCGAUAAGUAAUGUGAAUUGCAGAAUUCAGUGAAUCAUCGAAUCUUUGAACGCACAUUGCGCCCGCCAGUAUUCUGGCGGGCAUGCCUGUUCGAGCGUCAUUUGUACCCUCAAGCUUUGCUUGGUGUUGGGCGUCUUGUCUCUAGCUUUGCUGGAGACUCGCCUUAAAGUAAUUGGCAGCCGGCCUACUGGUUUCGGAGCGCAGCACAAGUCGCACUCUCUAUCAGCAAAGGUCUAGCAUCCAUUAAGCCUUUUUUUCAACUUUUGACCUCGGAUCAGGUAGGGAUACCCGCUGAACUUAAGCAUAUCAAUAAG